CCUACGGGAGGCAGCAGUGAGGAAUAUUGGUCAAUGGACGAGAGUCUGAACCAGCCAAGUCGCGUGAAGGAUGACUGCCCUAUGGGUUGUAAACUUCUUUUAUAUGGGAAUAAAAUGUUCCACGUGUGGGAUUUUGUAUGUACCCUAUGAAUAAGGAUCGGCUAACUCCGUGCCAGCAGCCGCGGUAAUACGGGGGAUCCGAGCGUUAUCCGGAUUUAUUGGGUUUAAAGGGAGCGUAGGGGGAUUUUUAAGUCCGGUGUGAAAGUUUGCGGCUCAACCGUAAAAUUGCAGUUGAAACUGGCAGUCUUGAGUACAGUAGAGGUGGGCGGAAUUCGUGGUGUAGCGGUGAAAUGCUUAGAUAUCACGCAGAACUCCGAUUGCGAAGGCAGUUCACUGGACUGCAACUGACACUGAGGCUCGAAAGUGUGGGUAUCAAACAGGAUUAGAUACCCUUGUAGUC
rnacentral:rRNA from 1 species